rnacentral:lncRNA from 1 species
GUCAUCCAAGAUGUGCUUACUUGAUGAUGUUUUCGGGUAGGCCAACCAUCUCAAAUGUCUGUUGUUUUCAUGCAAUGUGAGUUAGACCAUGCAAAAAUGUCUCAAUCUCUUAGAAAUUGAGUAGACAAUGUCUCAAUCUCUUAGAAAUUGAGUAGACAAUCAGACAACAUUUAGCUCUUGACAUUGUUUUUCAGUGCCAUCACAUGGCCUAAUUUGAAAUAUGCAAAAUUGAAUUUUAAGUUGUUUCAGG